AACCAAAUAUUUCCCAAAUUUUGAGACUGUCCACUUCUUGGAUUGCCAACUUCCUCUUCGCUAAAAUCCAUGGUCUUGCUUUAAAAAGUAUUCGUUUGAACAAUGACGAAUCGCCCCCAUCUGUUGACAGCCACCCAAUUCAAAUCUCAUAGCGUCACGCUCUCUCAACUCUUCCAUUCUGUAAACAUCUGUAAUGCAGGAUUAAUUUUAAUCUCACCACAAGAAAAUCAAUACCAUUGUUAAUCUUUAGCAGCUCUGGCUAAAUUGAUGGGAGGAUGGCAGUAGCAUUAAGCUACCUUUAUUCAGGAGAAAAAACCUUGGACCGCACGCAGAAAGAAGGCUAUUUGGAUAGAAGAAAACAUGGUGUGAGGUGGGAAUAAAAUGUUUGGGAUUGCUUCUGGAUGUUCUGAAGCGAGGGAAAACCAAAGUGUGGAUUGGAGAGGAG
rnacentral:lncRNA from 1 species